AUUGAACGCUGGCGGCAUGCCUUACACAUGCAGGCGAACGGUAACGCGGGGCAACCUGGCUACGAGUUGCGAACGGGUGAGUAAUGCAUCGGAACGUGCCCAGUAGUGGGGGAUAGCCGGGCGAAAGCCGGAUUAAUACCGCAUACGACCUACGGGUGAAAGGAAGGGAUCGCAAGACCUCUCGCUAUUGGAUCGGCCGAUGUCAGAUUAGGUAGUUGGUGGGGUAAAGGCCUACGAAGCCGACGAUCUGUAGGUGGUCUGAGAGGACGACCAGCCACACUGGGACUGAGACACGGCCCAGACUCCGACGGGAGGCAGCAGUGGGGAAUUUUGGACAAUGGGCGCAAGCCUGAUCCAGCCAUGCCGCGUGCGGGAAGAAGGCCUUCGGGUUGUAAACCGCUUUUGUCAGGGAAGAAAUCUUCUGGGUUAAUACCUCGGGAGAAUGACGGUACCUGAAGAAUAAGCACCGGCUAACUACGUGCCAGCAGCCGCAGUAAAAC
rnacentral:rRNA from 1 species